rnacentral:rRNA from 1 species
AGAGUUUGAUCCUGGCUCAGGAUGAACGCUGGCGGUAUGCCUAACACAUGCAAGUCGUACGGAAAAGAAAUUUUUAGUGGCGAACGGGUAAGUAACGCGUGAGAAUUUGCUUUUAGGUAGAGGAUAACGAAUAGAAAUAUUCGCUAAAACUCUAUAACUCUAUUAAAAAAAUAGCUAAAAAAAGAAAUUUGCCUAGAAAAAAGCUCGCGUCUGAUUAGCUAGUUGGUAAGGGAAAGGCUUACCAAGGCGACGAUCAGUAGCUGAUUUGAGAGGAUGAUCAGCCACACUGGAACUGAGACACGGUCCAGACUCCUACGGGAGGCAGCAGUGAGGAAUUUUCUGCAAUGGGCGAAAGCCUGACAGAGCAAUACCGCGUGAGGGAAUAAGAAGGCCUAUGGGUUGUAAACCUCUUUUCUCAAAGAAGAAGAUCUGACGUUAUUUGAGGAAUAAGCAUCGGCUAACCCUGUGCCAGCAGCCGCGGUAAU